rnacentral:rRNA from 1 species
UACGGAGGGUGCAAGCGUUAUCCGGAUUCACUGGGUUUAAAGGGUGUGUAGGCGGGGAUUUAAGUCAGUGGGGAAAUCUCCAGGCUCAACCUGGAAACUGCCAUUGAUACUAUUUAUCUUGAAUCUUGUUGAGGUGGGCGGAAUAUAUCAUGUAGCGGUGAAAUGCUUAGAUAUGAUAUAGAACACCGAUUGCGAAGGCAGCUCACUAAACAAGCAUUGACGCUGAGGCACGAAAGCGUGGGGAUCAAACAGG